AACGAACGCUGGCGGCAGGCCUAACACAUGCAAGUCGAACGCCGUAGCAAUACGGAGUGGCAGACGGGUGAGUAACGCGUGGGAACAUACCCUUCGGUUCGGAAUAACUCAGGGAAACUUGGGCUAAUACCGGAUACGUCCGCAAGGAGAAAGAUUUAUCGCCGAAGGAUUGGCCCGCGUCUGAUUAGCUAGUUGGUGAGGUAAUGGCUCACCAAGGCGACGAUCAGUAGCUGGUCUGAGAGGAUGAUCAGCCACAUUGGGACUGAGACACGGCCCAAACUCCUACGGGAGGCAGCAGUGGGGAAUAUUGGACAAUGGGCGCAAGCCUGAUCCAGCCAUGCCGCGUGAGUGAUGAAGGCCCUAGGGUUGUAAAGCUCUUUUACCCGGGAAGAUAAUGACGGUACCGGGAGAAUAAGCCCCGGCUAACUUCGUGCCAGCAGCCGCCGCGGUAA
rnacentral:rRNA from 1 species